GACAGAGGUGCCGAGCGUUAGGCGGAAUCACUGGGCUUAAAGCGUGUGUAGGCGGGCGGGCAAGUACCUUGUGAAAUCCCGCGGCUCAACCGUGGAACGGCUGGGUAUACUGCCUGUCUUGAGCCAACUAGGGGCGAGCGGAACAGACGGUGGAGCGGUGAAAUGCGUAGAUAUCGUCUGGAACGCCGAAGGUGAAAACAGCUCGCUGGGGUUGUGCUGACGCUGAGACACGAAAGCCAGGGGAGCGAACGGG
rnacentral:rRNA from 1 species